GGACCCGCACAAGCGGUGGAGGAUGUGGUUUAAUUCGAAGCUACGCGAAGAACCUUACCGAGGCUUGACAUCUCAGGAAGUCAGUCGAAAGACAGAUGUGCCUUUUGGAACCUGGUGACAGGUGCUGCAUGGCCGUCGUCAGCUCGUGUCGUGAGAUGUUGGGUUAAGUCCCGCAACGAGCGCAACCCUUGUCGUCUGUUGUCUUUUCAGACGAGACUGCCCGGGCCAACCGGGAGGAAGGUGGGGAUGACGUCUGGUCAGCAUGGCCCUUACGCCUCGGGCUACACACGUCCUACAAUGGGUAGUACAAUGGGCAGCCAAACCGCAAGGUGGAGCAAAUCCCAUCAAAACUACCCCCAGUUCGGAUAGAGGGCUGAAACUCGCCCUCUUGAAGUCGGAAUCGCUAGUAAUGGCGCGUCAGCAUAGCGCCGUGAAUACGUUCCCGGGUCUU
rnacentral:rRNA from 1 species